GCUGAGGUAGUCUAAUCAGAUACCCGAUUUCGACUCAGGAGAACUUAACUAUUAAGCCCCAGCA
rnacentral:tRNA from 1 species